rnacentral:rRNA from 2 species
GACGAACGCUGGCGGCGUGCCUAAUACAUGCAAGUCGAACGAACUCUGGUAUUGAUUGGUGCUUGCAUCAUGAUUUACAUUUGAGUGAGUGGCGAACUGGUGAGUAACACGUGGGAAACCUGCCCAGAAGCGGGGGAUAACACCUGGAAACAGAUGCUAAUACCGCAUAACAACUUGGACCGCAUGGUCCGAGUUUGAAAGAUGGCUUCGGCUAUCACUUUUGGAUGGUCCCGCGGCGUAUUAGCUAGAUGGUGGGGUAACGGCUCACCAUGGCAAUGAUACGUAGCCGACCUGAGAGGGUAAUCGGCCACAUUGGGACUGAGACACGGCCCAAACUCCUACGGGAGGCAGCAGUAGGGAAUCUUCCACAAUGGACGAAAGUCUGAUGGAGCAACGCCGCGUGAGUGAAGAAGGGUUUCGGCUCGUAAAACUCUGUUGUUAAAGAAGAACAUAUCUGAGAGUAACUGUUCAGGUAUUGACGGUAUUUAACCAGAAAGCCACGGCUAACUACGUGCCAGCAGCCGCGGUAAUACGUAGGUGGCAAGCGUUGUCCGGAUUUAUUGGGCGUAAAGCGAGCGCAGGCGGUUUUUUAAGUCUGAUGUGAAAGCCUUCGGCUCAACCGAAGAAGUGCAUCGGAAACUGGGAAACUUGAGUGCAGAAGAGGACAGUGGAACUCCAUGUGUAGCGGUGAAAUGCGUAGAUAUAUGGAAGAACACCAGUGGCGAAGGCGGCUGUCUGGUCUGUAACUGACGCUGAGGCUCGAAAGUAUGGGUAGCAAACAGGAUUAGAUACCCUGGUAGUCCAUACCGUAAACGAUGAAUGCUAAGUGUUGGAGGGUUUCCGCCCUUCAGUGCUGCAGCUAACGCAUUAAGCAUUCCGCCUGGGGAGUACGGCCGCAAGGCUGAAACUCAAAGGAAUUGACGGGGGCCCGCACAAGCGGUGGAGCAUGUGGUUUAAUUCGAAGCUACGCGAAGAACCUUACCAGGUCUUGACAUACUAUGCAAAUCUAAGAGAUUAGACGUUCCCUUCGGGGACAUGGAUACAGGUGGUGCAUGGUUGUCGUCAGCUCGUGUCGUGAGAUGUUGGGUUAAGUCCCGCAACGAGCGCAACCCUUAUUAUCAGUUGCCAGCAUUAAGUUGGGCACUCUGGUGAGACUGCCGGUGACAAACCGGAGGAAGGUGGGGAUGACGUCAAAUCAUCAUGCCCCUUAUGACCUGGGCUACACACGUGCUACAAUGGAUGGUACAACGAGUUGCGAACUCGCGAGAGUAAGCUAAUCUCUUAAAGUCAUUCUCAGUUCGGAUUGUAGGCUGCAACUCGCCUACAUGAAGUCGGAAUCGCUAGUAAUCGCGGAUCAGCAUGCCGCGGUGAAUACGUUCCCGGGCCUUGUACACACCGCCCGUCACACCAUGAGAGUUUGUAACACCCAAAGUCGGUGGGGUAACCUUUUAGGAACCAGCCGCCUAAGGUGGGACAGAUGAUUAGGGUG